rnacentral:lncRNA from 1 species
UUGAGUGUGGAUAGGUUGUAGCAGUUGGGUACUCUUCAAGCAAAUGGAGGACGCAAGGAUACACAAUGCUGCAACAGGUUUGGCUCAAUAGCAAUGGCAUGGCAACAGUGCAGCAGAGAGAGAAACUUAGUGCAUGAGCAACAAAUUUUUGGCAGCUCUGAAACAUGAUACACAAGGAAGACUAGAGUUCUCUUGAUUUUCUGGUAUGUUGUUUUGUUCUGUUGAUAGUGUGAUAUUUGAACCUGACGAUGCAUGUUUUAAACAUGUUUAUUAGGGAUGUGACUGUUUGACAUUUAUAUUAAUAAAAUCCUUUGUGUUUUUGUGUCUUGUUCAGA